GAGAGAGAGAGAGAGAGAGAGAGUGCAGGGUAUUUUAGACAUCAAAAAUAGAUUAAAAUCUGAAAGUUUGGCUAGUGGGAAUAAGCUUUUAGACAUUAUAGGGUUAGUGGGAAUUUCAGAUUCUUAUUUUGUUAGUGGGAAAAAAGUUUCUCAAAAACCGGGGGGAAAGGAAUUUCCCUAAAAUUUUUUACAGAUAUUUCUUUAAUAUAUCAGAGAUAUAUCAUAAAUAUCGGAGAUACAGUGGAAGAUAAAAUAUUUACUCUUGUAGAUAUAUUGGCCUUUCGGAAAAAGGAGAUAUCGGGUAGAGAUUUUAAUUCUUGAUUGUGCUUGCUUAACAACUCAUACACGACUUUCUUUAAAAAAAAAAAAAUGACAACUCAUACAAGAAUACAAUCAUAUUCACUUGGUCAGUUGACCAAGGGAUCCAUGGUCAAUAACCGUUAGAUGUAAAUGCAAAGGUUAUAUGGUAUUGUCUGUCCAUAUUAUGGACUUCUGUGUUAUUCCUAAUUACCAAGGCAUUGUCAUAGGAAAGCUAUUAGAGAUUUAGAGACUUUUUUUUNUUUUUUUUUUUUUGAAAACAAAGAUGGGCUUAUAACCUAUUGUAUUAAUAGUUGCAAGCUAGAAUGACACCGAUAUGGACCCUGAAGGUGAUAGAUUGGGAAGUAGAGAUAGUGCUAACCAUUUUUGUUGACAAUACAAGUGCAAGUAAAGUUGCGCGUAUUAUUACAUUAGGAUGAGGAGGACUGGUUUGAGAAAGUAGAAACCACAGGUUAUAGGGGGCAAGUACCUGCCCGCAUGUUAUUAGGAAUUUAGGUGUAGCCCACAUCCUGAACCUCAAUGUGAGAUCAAUACUUAAGACGAUGGAGAAAUCAAUUGCUUCCAUAAGGAAUGCAUUGAGUUGUGUGAGGAGUUCUUCAAUUAAGUUGGACACUUUUAAAAGCUAUGUUGAGAAGGAGAGGCUUGAGAGUAUCAGAGUAAAGGGGUGUUUUAGAGGUCCCGACAAGGUGGAACUAAAAAAAA
rnacentral:lncRNA from 1 species